rnacentral:lncRNA from 1 species
UAAAAGGUCACUUCUUCAUCUUUCUUCUUCUCUCUCAAACUUCUCUCUCAAACUUCCUUCCCUUCUUCUUUCUUCUUCUUUCUUCUUCUUUCUUAAACUUCCUUUCCCUUUUUCUUUCCGCCACCUACCAACAACAAGAAUCACCAUCCUCAACGACGUUGCGAGGACCUCACGUUGUCAUUGUCGUCACAUCGUUUGCAGCUUCUUCUUCCACCAUUCACGGCUCCGCCCGCGGCCAGCGGUGGAGCCAGCCAACAACAGGUGAUCCCAUUCACAGAGCUUGAGAGGCUGAACCGCAUUGGGAGCAGCGACAAGAGGUAUAUCUAAGAUGCUUUGGUGCAUAUUUGAGAUCCUUUAGUGCAUAUAUGGGAUCCUUUGGUGCAGAUAUGAGAUCCUUAAGUCCAGAUCUAAGAUGUUUUGGUGUGGAUCUGAAAUAUUUUGGUGUGGAUCUGAGUUUUGAAGUGAAGAUCUAGGGUUUAUAAAUUUUGAAAAAGAAAGGAAAAUAGAGUUUGGGUUAGUACUUGGGCUUAAAUAAUAAUACAUGCACUGUUAAUGGGUAUCCAACGGAUAUCUGCUGGUUGAAAAAAAUCCGCGGUUUUUUUUUAUGCGGGUACCCUACGGGUAACAGGUACAUUUUUUACAUGCAGGUCGAGUUCGGGUAUCACACUAUCCGUACCGAACCUGACCCGUUGUCAUCCCUACUUUUAACGCCGAAUUCGUGAAUGACGUCAUAUAAGGAGAUGUUAAAUUGACGUUGAAUUUUGUCAAUAUAUGAU